UACGUAGGGGGCAAGCGUUGUCCGGAAUCAUUGGGCGUAAAGCGCGUGUAGGCGGCUCGGUAAGUCAGCUGUGAAAGUCCAGGGCUCAACCCUGGAAUGCCGGUUGAUACUGUCGAGCUCGAGUCCGGAAGAGGUGAGUGGAAUUCCUGGUGUAGCGGUGAAAUGCGCAGAUAUCAGGAGGAACACCAAUGGCGAAGGCAGCUCGCUGGAACGGUACUGACGCCGAGGCGCGAAAGCGUGGGGAGCGAACGAGG
rnacentral:rRNA from 1 species